rnacentral:rRNA from 1 species
AGGGGGGCUCUAUAAUGCAGUCGAGCGAACUGAUUAGAAGCUUGCUUCUAUGACGUUAGCGGCGGACGGGUGAGUAACACGUGGGCAACCUGCCUGUAAGACUGGGAUAACUUCGGGAAACCGAAGCUAAUACCGGAUAGGAUCUUCUCCUUCAUGGGAGAUGAUUGAAAGAUGGUUUCGGCUAUCACUUACAGAUGGGCCCGCGGUGCAUUAGCUAGUUGGUGAGGUAACGGCUCACCAAGGCAACGAUGCAUAGCCGACCUGAGAGGGUGAUCGGCCACACUGGGACUGAGACACGGCCCAGACUCCUACGGGAGGCAGCAGUAGGGAAUCUUCCGCAAUGGACGAAAGUCUGACGGAGCAACGCCGCGUGAGUGAUGAAGGCUUUCGGGUCGUAAAACUCUGUUGUUAGGGAAGAACAAGUACAAGAGUAACUGCUUGUACCUUGACGGUACCUAACCAGAAAGCCACGGCUAACUACGUGCCAGCAGCCGCGGUAAUACGUAGGUGGCAAGCGUUAUCCGGAAUUAUUGGGCGUAAAGCGCGCGCAGGCGGUUUCUUAAGUCUGAUGUGAAAGCCCACGGCUCAACCGUGGAGGGUCAUUGGAAACUGGGGAACUUGAGUGCAGAAGAGAAAAAGCGGAAUUCCACGUGUAGCGGUGAAAUGCGUAGAGAUGUGGAGGGAACACCCAGUGGCGAAGGCGGCUUUUUUGGUCUGUU